rnacentral:rRNA from 1 species
ACGCAGCGAUGCCGCGUGAGUGAAGAAGGCCUUAGGGUUGUAAAACUCUUUCAGUGGUGAAGAUAAUGACGGUAACCACAGAAGAAGCUCCGGCUAACUCCGUGCCAGCAGCCGCGGUAAUACGGAGGGGGCUAACGUUGUUCGGAAUUACUGGGCGUAAAGCGCGCGUAGGCGGAUUAGACAGUUGGGGGUGAAAUCCCGGAGCUUAACUUCGGAACUGCCUUCAAUACUACUAAUCUAGAGUUCGGAAGAGGUGAGUGGAAUUCCUAGUGUAGAGGUGAAAUUCGUAGAUAUUAGGAAGAACAUCAGAGGCGAAGGCGGCUCACUGGUCCGAUACUGACGCUAAGGUGCGAAAGCGUGGGGAGCAAACAGGAUUAGAUACCCUGGUAGUCCACGCCGUAAACGAUGGAAGCUAGUUGUUGGACGGUUUA